AACGAACGCUGGCGGCAUGCCUAACACAUGCAAGUCGAACGAGACCUUCGGGUCUAGUGGCGCACGGGUGCGUAACGCGUGGGAAUCUGCCCUUGGGUUCGGAAUAACAGCGAGAAAUUGCUGCUAAUACCGGAUGAUGACGUAAGUCCAAAGAUUUAUCGCCCAAGGAUGAGCCCGCGUAGGAUUAGCUAGUUGGUGAGGUAAAGGCUCACCAAGGCGACGAUCCUUAGCUGGUCUGAGAGGAUGAUCAGCCACACUGGGACUGAGACACGGCCCAGACUCCUACGGGAGGCAGCAGUGGGGGAAUAUUGGACAAUGGGCGAAAGCCUGAUCCAGCAAUGCCGCGUGAGUGAUGAAGGCCUUUGGGUGUAAAGCUCUUUACCCGGGAUGAUAAUGACAGUACCGGGAGAAUAAGCUACCGGCUAACUCCGUAGCCAGCAGCCGCGGUAA
rnacentral:rRNA from 1 species